AUAUAAACAGUGUACAUUCGAUAAAAUUGGAACAAUACAGAAGAUUAGCAUGGCCCUUGCACAAGGAUGAUACGUACAAAAUCAAGGUUGCAUAAAUAUUU
rfam:Capsicum annuum cultivar Zunla-1 unplaced genomic scaffold scaffold985, whole genome shotgun sequence